GAUUGGGCACAGGGACCCAAAACAGGCAAAAGUCUCUGCAACCUCAGAAACUGAUUCCAGAUCUGGGGGUCUAACUUCAUUUUAAAUGAAGAAGGUGCCAGAGGCUUACUGUUUGCUUAAACUCACAGAAGGCCCUAUGCAUCUUGUUUGCAGCUGAAUCUCCAGUGCUCUGCUCAUGGCUAGAAUGGGGAUAAUUCCCAAAGAUACGAAGAAAUCGAAGCCCAAGAUGGGUGGCUUCUCAGUCCCUUGACUUGGAUGAAGUCCUCUC